rnacentral:rRNA from 1 species
UACGUAGGGGGCAAGCGUUGUCCGGAAUCAUUGGGCGUAAAGCGCGUGUAGGCGGUUUGGUAAGUCCGCUCUGAAAGUCCGGGGCUCAACCCCGGGAGGCGGGUGGAUACUGUCAGACUAGAGUGCGGAAGAGGCGAGUGGAAUUCCCGGUGUAGCGGUGAAAUGCGCAGAUAUCGGGAGGAACACCAAUUGCGAAGGCAGCUCGCUGGGACGUGACUGACGCUAAGACGCGACAGCAUGGGGAGCGAACGGG